UAUAAAGAUAAAUCAUCUACCCAGCUUUAGCAAAGGAAAGGCUAUAUGCUGAACAGUGCAUGCACCGAAAGCAUAAAGCUCCCUACAUGCCAGACAAUGAAAGCACUGACCCUCUACCAAAAGAAAAAGCAUGUCAGACAACACAUGCAAAAUAGCUCCCAGACUUGAAUCCAAAUCAAGUCUGCAAAAUCUUCUAUAAGAGCCUCGAA
rnacentral:lncRNA from 1 species